rnacentral:rRNA from 1 species
UACGGAGGGUGCAAGCGUUGUUCGGAAUUACUGGGCGUAAAGCGCGUGUAGGCGGUUGAGCAAGUCAGAUGUGAAAUCCUUCCGCUCAACGGGAGAAGUGCAUUUGAAACUACUCAACUAGAGUACGGGAGAGGAGAGUGGAAUUCCCGGUGUAGAGGUGAAAUUCGUAGAUAUCGGAAAGAACACCAAGGGCGAAGGCACUCUGCUGGGCCGAAACUGACACUGAGAGACGAGAGCUAGGGGAGCAAAUGGG